rnacentral:lncRNA from 1 species
CAAGAUUGAAAAUGGUGUAUCAUGGCGCAACAAUCAUGAUAUCGAUCAAAUGUGAGGCCUCUUUCUAACAAUCAUGUAUGACGGCCAUUUUUUGUUUCUUUACUGUCUACUAUAGCAUCACAUCGCAUAUUUAAAUACGAUGGGACACAUUACAAAACAACCAUAAUGUAUAUCACUGUCCAGCACUUCACUUACUGCAACUUGAUGGUCUACCUUCAUCUUCAUAAAGGGCCCAUUUUUUGCAUGCUAUUAUAGCUUAGAAAGAGCAAUCUCCCCUGCUCUAACUUAUUCUCUUAGUUGUUAGAGUGCAAUUACUUCUACCAUGAGUGAAUAUGUUCCCUUUUCUUCAUUCAUUUUUCUCAAUAUAUACAUGCAGGACUAUGUUUUCUGAAGAAUAUCCAAUAGUAAAGAGGGAUUUGGCAGUUUACUUUACCUGAUACAUCAAUCCCUUGCUCUAGCUGUUGUCUGUAGUGAAAAAGGGAUUAUUUGGCUUUUAGCCAAUGUCUAACCAAUUUAUUAGAGCAACAUAUAUAUUAGCUGGGCCAUCAUACCAAAUUAUUUACGUAUUUGUGCUCUUUUCUAUAGCAACAUAUUUUACUGUGUCUAUAACUACCUCCCUGUUGCCAACAAUAGUCACUAUAGCGCUCUUUUACAUGUUUCUUUCCACACCCUGUUUUGAUUUCUAACUAUCUUCUGACAUAGGGAUGGAUCACAUCACAAGAGAUACAAGACCUGUUCCUGACUUACGAAAGACAAAACUUGAUACUGGUACAUCACUAGGCAGUGUGUUAAACUUUGCUAUUUCAUAUACAUGGAAAAUUUCAUUCAGAUCUGAGUUGCAGUCAUGCCAUGUAUGCAAAGUGGUUUUUUUCUUUAAAUUUCGAAGCACACACAUGUAUUUAUUUUGUACCGUUGCAAUGCACAGGCAUUUUUGCUAGUUUAACUAAUAAAAACAGGGAAUAAAAAAGUGGGGACAGAAAGUAGUGCUUACUAAAUUCAUCAACUUCA